rnacentral:rRNA from 1 species
GAUGAACGCUGACAGAAUGCUUAACACAUGCAAGUCGACUCGAGUCUUCGGACUUGGGUGGCGCACGGGUGAGUAACGCGUAAAGAACUUGCCUCUUAGACCGGGACAACAUCUGGAAACGGAUGCUAAUACCGGAUAUUAUGGUUUUUUCGCAUGGAGGAAUCAUGAAAGCUGGAUGCGCUAAGAGAGAGCUGUGCGUCCCAUUAGCUAGUUGGUGAGGUAACGGCCCACCAAGGCAAUGAUGGGUAGCCGGCCUGAGAGGGUGAACGGCCACAAGGGGACUGAGACACGGCCCUUACUCCUACGGGAGGCAGCAGUGGGGAAUAUUGGACAAUGGACCACAAGUCUGAUCCAGCAAUUCUGUGUGCACGAUGACGUUUUUCGGAAUGUAAAGUGCUUUCAGUCGGGAAGAAGUCAGUGACGGUACCGACAGAAGAAGCGACGGCUAAAUACGUGCCAGCAGCCGCGGUAAUACGUAUGUCGCAAGCGUUAUCCGGAUUUAUUGGGCGUAAAGCGCGUCUAGGCGGCAAGGAAAGUCUGAUGUGAAAAUGCGGAGCUCGACUCCGUAUGGCGUUGGAAACUGCCUUACUAGAGUACUGGAGAGGUAGGCGGAACUACAAGUGUAGAGGUGAAAUUCGUAGAUAUUUGUAGGAAUGCCGAUGGGGAAGCCAGCCUACUGGACAGAUACUGACGCUAAAGCGCGAAAGCGUGGGUAGCAAACAGG